GCACAGGGCCAAGGCAGAGCCCACCCACCCCCAUCCAGCCCACAUUUGUCUCUUUUGAACAUUCUAGACUGUCAAGGAGCCAGCACCUGUGCAGAAGCCGGAAAAGCCUGGGGUGGCCAGUUUCAGCAACCGUGAUGAUCUCUCCUGAAUAAGUGGGCGCUCUGUCAAAACCCCAAGGACCUGUUGUAAGAUACUAAGAACGGAUGCGCUCUGGAAAAGGACCUGGC
rnacentral:lncRNA from 1 species